rnacentral:rRNA from 1 species
UACAGAGGGUGCGAGCGUUAAUCGGAAUUACUGGGCGUAAAGCGUGCGUAGACGGUUAUUUAAGUCGGGUGUGAAAGCCCCGGGCUCAACCUGGGAAUUGCAUUCGAGACUGAAUAGCUAGGGUACGGUAGAGGGGAGCGGAAUUUCCGGUGUAGCGGUGAAAUGCGUAGAUAUCGGAAGGAACAUCAGUGGCGAAAGCGGCUUCCUGGACCAGUACCGACGUUCAGGCACGAAAGCGUGGGGAGCAAACAGG